rnacentral:rRNA from 1 species
UAUACGCCACUUAGUGGAUGGCUUGGCUUAUGCCCGCACGGUCACGCGGCAAGCGGCGAAACGCCAUGGGUAGACGCACGCAGUCUUUGAUCCAUGGAUUUGACUGAGCACAGUAAUGUGCAACAACCCCUCGAAAUGAAGCAUCUUAGUAGAGGGUGGAAAAGAAAUCAACGAGAUCCGGUUAGUAACAGCGAGUGAAAGCCGGUUAGAUCAAACCGAAUUCCGUCUUGGUAACAGGGCGGUAGAUGUGGUGGGGAGUAUCCUUUGUCUGAACCGAAGUCCAAUGGAAUCUGGCACCUUAGCGAGUAACAGUCUCGUAGGUGAAGGAUAGAGGAACGAUCCAAAAAGAGUAAGGUCCGCCGGAUAGCGGACAUGAACAUGGGGGUAUCAACCUCUAAAUCUAAAUAUGAGGCAUAAGACCGAUAGCGAAUCAGUAGCGCGAGCGAACGCUGAAAAGCACUGCGGGAGCAGUGUGAAAAGAACCUGAAAUUAAGUGGUUACAGAAUGACAAGGCAUAAAAGCGUAGGUUUGUGGAAGUGAGUUUGGGCAACUGAACAAACGACAUGAAUUAAGCAGUGUCUUGUCUUUCUUCUCGAAGCAAGAGUCAGGGAGUUAUUUGGUGUGGCGAGAUGAAAAUCAAAGCGAAAGCAAGAGUACGCAGCCCGCAAGGGUAAGGUACGUCGUGGUAAAUCGCGAUUAGUCACACUGGGUAGACCCGAAGCCAUAGUGAGCUACGCCCGAUCAGGACGAAGUCAAUCUGACGAUUGAUGGAGGUCCGCAACUAGUGAUGGUAUAUUCCUCUUAGGUGAAUUGGGUGUAGGGGUGAUAGUCCUGUCGAACAUGGCGAUAGCGGGUUCCCUCUGAAAUGUCUCUCAGGACAGCGUCUCUGGAGAACGAUAUAGCGGUAGAGCACUGAUCAGGUGGAUUGGUUUCGAAAGGAAUCGCCAUCUCCUCAAACUCCGAAUGUUAUAUCUUCGUAGAAGGAGGCAGUCGGGGCGCCGGAGUAAGUCUGACGUCCCUUACGGGAACGACCGUACGUGAGGCUAAGGGCCCUAAAUGCUAGUUAAGUGUUAAUCUGAAAGGAGUGUCUAUUCAAAAACAACCGGGAGGUAGGCUUAGAAGCAGCCACCCUUCAAACAACGCGUAAUAGCGGACCGGUCUAGAGUACACAUUCUGAAAAUUCACGGGGCUAAACUAGCUUCCGAUACCUCACCAAUGUAAAAAACAUUUGAGUAAGGGGGCGAACGGGUUGCCUAGAAGCACGGUGGUGACAUCGUGUGGAGCGGCCUGUUAUGAAUAUCCUGAUGUAAGUAGCAGCAUAUCCGGACGAGAAUUCCGGACACCUUAUCGAGCAAGGAUUCCUCAGCCACGUUCUUCAGCUGAGGGUUAGGCGAUCCUAAGGAUGAUGGUAACUCCUGAAAUCCGAAAUUAGGGAAACUGGUUAAUAUUCCAGUCCUAUGGAGAUAGGUGCCGCAAGGCAAGCCACAUUCUUGACGCUUUUGGAUAGGUCGAACGUCUUCGGACGUCUGAUGAGGGUAACUUCGUGGAGUCUCAUUGUGAGGAGAAACGAAUGAAUCUCUUAGGGGUAACUCGAUCAAGUCCAGGGGCCCAUGAAAAAAGAUGUGGAACGAUUCUUCAUAAUCGUACCCAGAACUAGUACAGGUGCUCUAGCUGAAUAGGCUAAGGUGUGAUAGGACAACCUAGGUAAGGGAACUCGGCAAGUUAGCUCCGUAACUUAGGAAGAAGGGGUGCCAUAGCAUGAGUAAUGUUGUGGUUUCAAUAACAAGGGGAGUGCGACUGUUUACCAAAAACACAGAUCAUCGCAGAGCCGAAAGGCUGAGUAUGAUGGUUGACGUCUGCUCACUGCUAGUACCUGAAAAUCGGGUUCAACCGGGGGAAGGGCUAGUAAAGAGCGGGGGUAACUCUGACCCUCUUAAGGUAGCGUAAUACCUCGCCGCUUAAUUGGCGGCUUGCAUGAAUGACGUAACGUCACUCCCACUGUCCCUACUUAGGACCUAGUGAAAUUACUUACCGGUGAAGAUGCCGGUGACUUCCAGAGGGAAACGAAGACUCCAUGGAGCUUUACUAUAGUCUGAUGUUGUGGUACGAAGUUUACUACCAAGCGUAAGUGGGAGCCGUUAUGUUGCAGCUUCCGGGUUGCAGAUAGGCGAAAGUGUUACACCACUUAGUGGAUUUUGUAUCGCUUACUCGAAAGAGAACAGCGUCAGGUGGAUAGUUUGGCUGGGGCGGUACGCCCUCGAUAAGGAAACAAGGGCGCCCAAUGCUUUGCUCAUUCCGGUCAGAAAUCGGAAGUAGAGGGUUAAAGACAAAUGCAAGGCUGACUGUAUUCUUAAAAGCGUAGAAUGCAGAGACGAAAGUCGGGCUUAACGAACCUUGAAAUCCCUUUGAUGAGGAUUCAAGCUGUCAGACAAGCUACCCUGGAGGUAACAGGCUCGUCGCGGGUGAGAGUACACAUCGACCCCGCGGUUUGGUACAUCGCUGUCGGCUUGGGACAUCCUGGUCGUGUAGGAGCGGCCAAGGGUUGGGUUGUUCAUCCAUUAAAGUCCCACAUGAGCUGGGUUCAGUACGUCGCGAGACAGUACGGUAGUAUCUCCUGGAAGUGUUGCCCCUUGA